rnacentral:rRNA from 1 species
GACGAACGCUGGCGGCGUGCCUAAUACAUGCAAGUAGAACGCUGAAGGAGGAGCUUACUUCUCUGGAUGAGUUGCGAACGGGUGAGUAACGCGUAGGUAACCUGCCUGGUAGCGGGGAAUAACUAUUGGAAACGAUAGCUAAUACCGCAUAAGAGUAGAUGUUGCAUGACAUUUACUUAAGAGGUGCAAUUGCACCACUACCAGAUGGACCUGCGUUGUAUUAGCUAGUUGGUGGGGUAACGGCUUACCUAGGCGACGAUACAUAGCCGACCUGAGAGGGUGAUCGGCCACACUGGGACUGAGACACGGCCCAGACUCCUACGGGAGGCAGCAGUAGGGAAUCUUCGGCAAUGGACGGAAGUCUGACCGAGCAACGCCGCGUGAGUGAAGAAGGUUCUCGGAUCGUAAAGCUCUGUUGUAAGAGAAGAACGAGUGUGAGAGUGGAAAGUUCACACUGUGACGGUAUCUUACCAGAAAGGGACGGCUAACUACGUGCCAGCAGCCGCCGUAA